UACGGAGGGUGCUAGCGUUGUUCGGAAUUACUGGGCGUAAAGCGCUCGUAGGCGGCUAUUCAAGUCAGAGGUGAAAGCCCGGGGCUCAACCCCGGAACUGCCUUUGAAACUAGGUAGCUAGAAUCUUGGAGAGGUCAGUGGAAUUCCGAGUGUAGAGGUGAAAUGCGUAGAUAUUCGGAAGAACACCAGUGGCGAAGGCGACUGACUGGACAAGUAUUGACGCUGAGGUGCGAAAGCGUGGGGAGCAAACAGG
rnacentral:rRNA from 1 species